rnacentral:rRNA from 1 species
GGCGAACGCUGGCGGCGUGCUUAACACAUGCAAGUCGAACGGUGAAAGCGGAGCUUGCUCCGCUGGAUCAGUGGCGAACGGGUGAGUAACACGUGGGAAACCUGCCCCUCACUUCGGGAUAACUCCGGGAAACCGGGGCUAAUACCGGAUAUGACCUCCUUGGGCAUCCUUGGAGGUGGAAAGUUUUUCGGUGAGGGAUGGGCCCGCGGCCUAUCAGCUUGUUGGUGAGGUAGUGGCUCACCAAGGCGACGACGGGUAGCCGGCCUGAGAGGGCGACCGGCCACACUGGGACUGAGACACGGCCCAGACUCCUACGGGAGGCAGCAGUGGGGAAUAUUGCGCAAUGGGCGAAAGCCUGACGCAGCAACGCCGCGUGCGGGAUGACGGCCUUCGGGUUGUAAACCGCUUUCAGCAGGGAAGAAGCCGCAAGGUGACGGUACCUGCAGAAGAAGCACCGGCUAACUACGUGCCAGCCGCCGCAGUAA